rnacentral:ncRNA from 1 species
AGAAUGUUUAUACAAUGACCUUUCAUAACUGAAGCAAUUUUUAAUCUUUUCUGUAUGAUAAUGAUUUAAUACAUGGGAUUCCUCACUUAGUCUAGAUUGAUGGGAUUGACAGACUGAGAGCUCUCUCUCUGUUCCAUGGGUGGUGGCAGCACAUGGCCAUUCUUAGUUGGUGGAAGCUAUUUGUCUGGUUAAUUCCAAUAACAAACAAGGCUCUGGCAUGCUAACCAGUUAUGUGACCCCCGAGUGGACAGUGUCCAACUUCUUAGAGGGACAACUGGCAUUCAGCCACCCAAGAUUGAGCAAUAACAGGGCUGUGAUGCCCUUAAAUGUCUGGGGCCACAUGCUCUAGACCGAGUGGCUCAGUUUGUGCCAACCUCCACCAGCAGGCAGAGGUAACCCAUUGGAAAGCAUUUGUGAUGGGGAUCAGGGACUGGAAUUCUUCCUUGUAACAAGGAACUCCCAGUAAGUGGAUGUCACAAGCUCACACUGAAAAGUUCCUCCCUGCCCACUGUGCACACUGCUCAUCACCAACUUGGUGGUUUAGUGAGUGUGGAGAAGGCAAACAAACUUGAUUAACUAGAGGAAGUAAAAGUUGUAACAAGGUUUCUGCAGGAGAACCUUUGGAAU